rnacentral:rRNA from 1 species
UAGGGAAUCUUCCACAAUGGACGCAAGUCUGAUGGAGCAACGCCGCGUGAGUGAAGAAGGGUUUCGGCUCGUAAGGCUCUGUUGUUAAAGAAGAACGUGGGUAAGAGUAACUGUUUACCCAGUGACGGUAUUUAACCAGAAAGCCACGGCUAACUACGUGCCAG